rnacentral:rRNA from 1 species
AGCGAACGCUGGCGGCAGGCCUAACACAUGCAAGUCGAACGAAGCCUUCGGGCUUAGUGGCGGACGGGUGAGUAACACGUGGGAACGUACCUUUAGGUUCGGAACAACUCAGGGAAACUUGAGCUAAUACCGGAUAAGCCCUUCGGGGGAAAGAUUUAUCGCCUUUAGAGCGGCCCGCGUUAGAUUAGCUAGUUGGUGAGGUAAAGGCUCACCAAGGCUACGAUCUAUAGCUGGUCUGAGAGGAUGAUCAGCCACACUGGGACUGAGACACGGCCCAGACUCCUACGGGAGGCAGCAGUGGGGAAUCUUGCGCAAUGGGCGAAAGCCUGACGCAGCCAUGCCGCGUGAAUGAUGAAGGUCUUAGGAUUGUAAAGCUCUUUCACCGGAGAAGAUAAUGACGGUAUCCGGAGAAGAAGCCCCGGCUAACUUCGUGCCAGCCGCCGCCGUAA